rnacentral:rRNA from 1 species
UGGGGAAUAUUGGACAAUGGGCGCAAGCCUGAUCCAGCCAUGCCGCGUGAGUGACGAAGGCCUUAGGGUUGUAAAGCUCUUUUCGGCGGGGAAGAUAAUGACGGUACCCGCAGAAGAAGCCCCGGCUAACUCUGUGCCAGCAGCCGCGGUAAUACAGAGGGGGCAAGCGUUGUUCGGAAUCACUGGGCGUAAAGCGCACGUAGGUGGAUAGUUAAGUUCGGGGUGAAAUCCCAGGGCUCAACCCUGGAACUGCCUCGGAUACUGGCUAUCUCGAGUCCGGAAGAGGUGAGUGGAAUUCCUAGUGUAGAGGUGAAAUUCGUAGAUAUUAGGAAGAACACCGGUGGCGAAGGCGGCUCACUGGUCCGGUACUGACACUGAGGUGCGAAAGCGUGGGGAGCAAACAGGAUUAGAUACCCAAGUAGUCCCUGAGCGGGCUGGCAAGGCGCAU